CCGCGCCUCCCUGCUGCAGCCCAUUCCUGUCAGCGCCGCGUCCCCGCCGCCGCCAGCUCGGGCCGGCAGGGUGGCAGCCGGAUCAUGGAAGCCGGGGAGCUCCGGGAGCCCCGCGAGCCCGGGCCAGGGGCAGAGACCGCGGCGGCCCGGUGCUGGGAGGAGACCAAGACUUUCUACGAAAACCUCGCGCCCAAGAAGAAACCCAAAUCGCCCAAGCCUCAGAAUGCUGUCACCAUUGCUGUGUCCUCCCGAGCCUUGUUCCGCAUGGACGAGGAGCAGCGCAUCUACACGGAGCAGGGCGUGGAGGAGUAUGUACGCUACCAGCUGGAGCACGAGAACGAGCCCUUCAGCCCAGGGCCAGCCUUCCCUUUUGUGAAGGCUCUGGAGGCUGUGAACAGGAGGCUGCGGGAGCUGUACCCCGAUAGUGAGGACAUCUUUGAUAUCGUCCUUGUGACCAACAACCACGCUCAAGUGGGUGUCCGUCUGAUCAACAGUAUCAACCACUAUGACCUGUUCAUUGAGCGGUUCUGCAUGACAGGUGGGAAUAGCCCCAUCUGCUACCUCAAGGCCUAUCACACCAACCUCUACUUGUCAGCUGAUGCGGAGAAAGUGCGGGAAGCCAUCGAUGAAGGGAUCGCAGCGGCCACCAUCUUCAGCCCCAGCAGGGACGUGGCUGUGUCCCAGAGCCAGCUGCGCGUGGCCUUCGAUGGGGAUGCUGUGCUUUUCUCGGAUGAGUCGGAACGCAUCGUCAAGGCCCACGGGCUGGACAGGUUCUUUGAGCAUGAGAAGGCCCACGAGAACAAACCUUUGGCCCAGGGCCCCUUGAAGGGCUUUCUGGAGGCACUGGGUAGGCUGCAGAAGAAGUUCUAUUCCAAGGGCCUGCGGCUGGAGUGCCCGAUCCGUACCUACUUGGUGACAGCACGCAGCGCAGCCAGCUCGGGGGCCCGGGCUCUCAAGACCCUGCGCAGCUGGGGCCUGGAGACGGAUGAGGCCUUGUUCCUUGCAGGAGCGCCCAAGGGCCCCCUCCUCGAGAAGAUCCGCCCACACAUCUUCUUCGAUGACCAGAUGUUCCACGUAGCCGGGGCUCAGGAGAUGGGCACGGUGGCUGCCCAUGUGCCUUAUGGUGUGGCCCAGAAGCCCCGGCCGCCUGCCCCUCUGAAGCCAGCCCCAGCUGCACAGUGAGCCGCCAGCUUCACUGACUUGCAGAGCUGCGGGCACAGAUCCCUGUCUGUAUUCCACCCCAACGUCCAGUGGACCCUUCUAGUUCCUCACCGCUCUGUCCUUCUGCACGUCUGCCCUCAUCCCCACGAGUGAGGAACUUGUAGGGAAUUAGGCAGACUGACCCAGCACCCUCCAGAGCCCUCCCGCAGGGCAAACACUGUGCCACCAUCCUGGCUGGAAGAGUAAGAUUGUAGAGUAGCUUGGUUUCGGGGGAGGAAGAGGGCGGGUUGAUGGGAAUGAGGGUGACAGUGUCAGAGGAGCCAGGCUGCCUCCAAGGGGGCUUGGGAUUAAGACUAGCUCAGUGCAGUGCAAAGAACUUGGCUUUGAGAGAGAAGGCAUCCGGCUUCCAAGCUCUGUGGCGGCGUGCACUGACGACCUGGGGUGCCCAAUCAGAUUGGCGGGAACGGAGCAGGAAACUCUAGGAGAAACCAAAACCUGUGAGAAGCUCAAACAUGAGAUGGAUCUGGGAUCAUAAUGAUAUCCAGCUGGUGUGACAGGUGAGCGCCCGCACACCAAACUGGUGAUCAACACAUGGAAAUACCUCUAUGACAGUUGCGAAAUAGCGCUGGCCCAAGCCCCCGAGUGCCCCUCCAUGGUUUCUGCUGCACUGGCCUCCCUCCACUGUGACAACGCCGUCUUCCCACAAUUCAGCAAAAGGGGCGUCCAGGAGUCUGUGCUAGCCCAAUGGCCAUCAUCCACUCUAGUUGCUCGUCUAGAGAGAGUAACUUACCCAGAGUCAUUCAGCUGGUGAGUGGCAGCCCUGGAAAUGAGCCCAUGUCUGUCCCUUGGGACCCAGGCUCUCAGCCAUUCUGCCGUUCAGCCCAGACAGCAUAGAGGCCACAAGAGAAGCUUUGUGACAGAGGGGCUUGCCCACCAGUUAGCAUGCUGACCUCCUUCCUGUUAAACUGCUAUACAAUACAUGGUACAUUGCUGUUGUAGUGUCCUAAGUAGCUAGGAAGAAUUUAAAUUAGAGCCAGACAUUUGCAGAGCUGCUGAAGCAUCACCCAAGUUCUCUGGAACCCAGUCUAAAGGCCCUUGUGUGGGGCUCAUGCAGAGUUUAACUGAUGAUGGGCCAAAUCCCUCUCACCACCUGUUUUUGUAAAGAAACUUUCAUCAGAACACAGCCAUGCCUACUGGUUUUGCACACAACAACAGAGUCGAGUUGUUUCAACAGAGACCAAGGAGCUGAAAAUAUUUAUCUGACCCUGGACUGAGGCAAACACCCACAGCGUGCCCUUUCGUGGGAGAGACCAGCUCAUAUCCACCUGAGUGCUGGAGGCAGAGGCUGGUUUCACGGCCAAGGGAGGGCAGCAUGGGCCGGUUCUGUGCCCAUCUGCGGGGAUUGUUAGGGCUGCAGAAAAUCAUAGGCAUUAGCUGAGUACCGUGAUGUUGAACACAAUAGAUCCUUGGUAUCGGAGGAUUUCAGAUUUCAGGUUUUGACCAUUUCCAAGUGCCCCAUGGCCUGUUAUAAUUUGAAAUGUUGACUCAUAAAGUUGACUCGGGUGUGCCCUCCUCAGCUGAUGGGUGAGGGCAGGGAGCAGGACCCUUGGCUAGGGCUGAGCCCAGCUGGCUGUUCAGCACCUGUUCGGUGUGCCUUUGUGGUUCUCAGCUCGUCAUUGCCCUCCUGGGCCUCUUGGGAAAUGAAAAGUGCUGGUAGGUGAAUGGGCUUUAGCUAAAUAUUGGUUUUGGAUAUAAUGGAGCAGCCAAUGUUGACUUCAGCACUCUGAUCUAACAAGUCAUCCGUAUGCUCUCCGUGGAAGCAGGAACAAGGUCUUCAUGAAGGCCACUCCAGCGAGCGCUUUAGCUGAUCCAGAACUUACUGAUCAAGCAAGAGCUAAAACUCCAGUGAAAGUCAAAAGGCAAUUGUCUUGGGCUGUGCGUGUGUGAGCAACUCACACGCCCUCAUGGUGGAACUGCGGAUCAGGAGAAAUCUGGGACCCAGCAGCCAGAGGAGUUUACUCAGUCUCCAGGAUCCGCUGCAAGAAAGGCAGAAGUGGUCCCACCUAUAGACAUGAUUGUUCCAUCAUGAUACUCUUGUCUCUUAAGCCCAGACUUGGCCUCAGAAUCCUUCUCAAUCCAGCAUUCCAGGAGCCCCUACUAGCAAGUUGGAGUUGGUACAGAAGAUGGAACCCUAUUUUGACAUCCUUGUUGGUGUGAGGAUCUGCUUUCCAGGGCCUCUGCAAGGCCUUGUUUAUUCUCUGAUGACACGGUACCACUCAGAAUCGGGGGGUCUCACCUUACCCGGGCAGGAGGGGUGCAGGGGGGAAUGGAGGGGGGAUGGUAGGCAUCCUGGGGUUGGCUGCUUCCCCAGACUGGGUGCCUUUAAAUGUAGGUCCUUCUCUGGGUUUCACCAGCUCAAAGCAAAGCACGAAAACCCUUCCCAUCAGUAGGUGGCGCUAGAGGCCAGCACUCCGCCAUUGGCAAAAGUUCCCUGGUUUUCUUCACUGGUUAAUUUUCUCUGCUGUGGUACUUGGUGCUGUGCUGGACUCCUUUGUGUAGCUUGGCCUAAAAGCACUAUAGGUGCUCUGAAAAUUUCCUGUGUGACAAGCUGAUUUCUCUUACCAGCAACCACUGUGACUGUGUGUGUGGACAGAUUCAUAUGAGCAUGUGCAACAGGAUGAAAGCUGCAUGUGUCCAUGUUUACGUGGGCGUGUAACAGAUCAGAUAUCUCUGUGACAACUCUGUGUGUGUGUGUGUGUGUGUGUGUGUGUGUGUACAUGUACAGUGGACAGGAUGGUUAUCUCUGUUAACUAAGGAUCCUGGGCCCCAUAUACUUAUGGCCAGCCCUGUUUCUUGGGACUGCUUCUGGCCAUUCCCAUCAUCUCAUGGGCAUUUGCACAUGUGCAGCAUGGGGGCCACUGAAGCCAAGUUCCAUAUCUUUCUUUCCAGCUUUCAGAUUUGGCCAAUAAAAUCUUGGCUCCCAUCCCUCUGCCUCCAAGCCCUACCUCCCGCAGACUUGGAAAGGAAGUGGUAGAAUCUGUGCUAGGAUACCCCUUUUGACUGCACCUGCCUCACCAUCUCCAUUUGUUUCUUUCCUCCUACUGAUAGUUCCAGGGCCAAUGUGGGCAGUUGGGCAGAUUGCAUACUGCACAAAUCCAGAUAGAGUCAUUCACGCUAUGACUUGAAUGGAGCUUUCUAAACACCUGCAAAACCUGCCAACCUCCCAUGGCUGUCCUGGUCAUCUCAUGAUCAUGGCUAGAAAAGUUACCUUCUUCCCUGCCCCCCUGGCCCAGCCCAGCCUAGGCUAGGAUUCCUUUCUCUGCUUGGGUGUUCUAGUCUGGCCUAGAAGUGACUAACCCUUGACCUUGAUCUGGAAAUAUCUCCUUGAUGUCAUUGAGAUUGAAUUUAUGAAAGUGAAGUAUGCUGGCAGCUUUUCAGUAACCCAUCUUCUCAGAGUUAGUGGUCCCUGUAAGACAUACUGGGAUUCUAUAGACCAGAGUUACUGCCUCCCACGCUCCUGGCCUGUGGGUGAAGAUGCCUUCAUGGGCCCACUGGUUAGAUGGGUCUGCCACAGAAUUAGGGGAAGGCCUCAGGCUAAUCUUGGAGUUGCCACCAUGUAGAAAAUCAUGAGGUCACCGCAGACUGGAUGCCUGGGCCUGGUCCCAAACCCUGAAGCCUCCCAGGGCCAGGCGGGAAAUGUGAGUGAGCGAAGAGACGAGGCCGGCCGGGUCUUUUGGGUAAUGGAGCACACAUUUGCUCUUUGUCGGACACGGUUGCUGCCGUGUGGGAAUGUGUGGGGCUGUUCCCAGAUAUCGCACCCCAUUUUUCAAGGGAAGCUAAAAAUCUGGACUUUCAAAUGUUGGCAACUAUUUUGAAUUUGGAAAGGAUCGUGCAGGCCAAACAAAACACAUCUUGCAGGCCGAAGCCAGCCCUGGAGCCUCCUGUCUGCUCCCUCUGGCCCAGGCCCAGGGAACUGAGUUCUUCAGAACCGACUCACUGAGCAUGUGAGGAUAUUAUCCUCAGGCUCACAGAGUCUGGGGUCUCUGAGAGACCUCAGAGAUAGCCUAGUUCACCCCUGUGUGUUUUAAACUGUGUACAUAUAAAGUUCUUUAUUAACACACGUAUCUUUAGCUUCUGGUAUCUAUUUAAAAGCAUCUCAGUGCCCACCCCCUCGUGUAGAACAAGAUUGAAAGUGAAGCCUUACAUGUAGUCGUGCUUGUAUCUACCUGUCAGAAGCCCUACUUAUAUCUUUAUAGGUCUAUUUAUAUCUUUUGCAAACACGGGCUGCCCUGGUCUUCCUUACAACUGAACCUCCUUGGGUUGCUUUUUAAAAUCUCCUAAGUGCCUCCUUAAACAGUUAGAGCAUGUUCUUCUUCAUCUCUCUGAGUUCUCUCGUCUGAAGAGGGGGUAAGAUGGCUCGUACCUUCUCGACUCUGCCCCUCGUUGGUCUGCUCAGCCCUCCCCAUGCCCCCGCUCGGUCUGGCUCCCAGCAGCUACCCAGUCACGUGAUAAAGGGUGCUGUGUGAUCGUCAGUGUGGAUGCCUCUCAGUCCUCGUGCUUGUCCUGUAACUGAAUUUCACAACAUGGGCUUCUGCCUCUUAAAAGCCAUUCAAAUAAAUCGAAGACUUUUAAAAUAAACAUAUACUGUCUUGUCUGCCUUCCUCACGAUUGUAUCUGCUGACUGACUGAUG